rnacentral:rRNA from 1 species
CCUACGGGAGGCAGCAGUGGGGAAUAUUGCACAAUGGCGGAAACCCUGAUGCAGCGACGCCGCGUGAGUGAGGAAGUAUUUCGGUAUGUAAAGCUCUAUCAGCAGGGAAGAAAAUGACGGUACCUGACUAAGAAUCCCCGUCUCACGACGUUCCAGCAGCCGUGGUUAUACGCAGGGGGCAAGCGUUAUCCGGAUUUACUGGGUGUAAAGGGAGCGUAGACGGGUAAUCAAGUCAGAAGUGAAAACCCUGGGCUCAACCUUAGGAGUGCUUUUGAAACUGAGUAGCUAGAGUGCAGGAGAGGUAGGCGGAAUGCCUGGUGUAGCGGUGAAAUGCGUAGAUAUUAGGAAGAACACCAGUGGCGAAGGCAGCUUACUGGACUGUAACUGACGUUGAGGCUCGAAAGCGUGGGGAGCAAACAGGAUUAGAUACCCCGGUAGUC